UGAGGAUGCUGGUGAGGCUGCUGGGGCAGGCAGGCCACCGAGAGGCUCUCCUGGCAAGGUCCAAAGGAACAGUUCUUGGAGCUGGGUCUGGGGCUUGCUCCUUCCUGGGAUGGGGUUGAAGGCUCGUCCCUCUGUUUCAGCACGUACUCCGAGCAUACAGUCACUUCCCAACUCAUUGAUGGGGAUGGGAGCGAUAGACUUCCUUCUCGGAAAAACCUUUAAAAAGUUGAAACUUUUGGGUACGAGAGUUGAUUGACUGCUACAAAGACCUACGCCAAACCCUAAAACUCAUCAUGUUAAGUUUAUCGUAGAGUGGCCUCAAGUCCGGGUGAAAAACAUCUGCUCGGUUGUCUACCCUGUGAAGAAGCCGGGUAUUGGUUUCAGAUGUGGUCAGGCAGACUGGGAGAACAUCCUGGUGGAAACCUGUGGACCUGUCCAGGAGAGUAUUGGAUGGGCUGGGAGCUGGGAGCUGGAGACUGCUUGCUGCCUGGGGAGGCUGACCCCGCUGGCUGCGCUUGGAAACUGACCCUCACUUUGACCUCUUACAACUCCUGCUUCAGCUGGCCACCGGAGGCUGUGACUAAAAAUAGAGCUCUGACAGUGAGUUCCUCUGCCCAGUAGCUUCCAGUGGUGGCUGGGGGUCACCCAGUGUGUCUUUGGAACCUGAUGAUCCCCCCCUUCCUAAAAUCAAACCCAUGUAUGGACCACAGCCUUUUCAUGUUUAGGGGCUGUGGACCUCUUCAAGCAAGGGGCUUUGUCAUAGAGGCGUGACAUAGAGGCAGGUCCUUUGUGACCUGGCCAUGCCUUCCUCAUGCUCACCUUGACUCUCUCCCUCUUAGGCUGUGUACCCAGUUACAUCAAAUUACGCACGGGGUCUCCACGUCUAUUUUACUGGCUCGUGAGCUGCUCAAGACCAGAGACUCUGUCUUUCCCCAGUAUCCAGCACAGAACAAACAGGGAUUCUCCAGGGUCUGGAAAACCAAGAUGGUGGAACUGAAGAACAGGAGCUAACUGGAGAAGAGGGGGAGCAAAUGAGAAGGGCAGGUCUGGAGUCAGGAGCAGGCCAGGAGCCUGGGUGCUAGUCCAAGCGGCCCCCAGCCCACUACCUGGGUCACUCAGCUCGUCCUGCCGGGCGCUGCCCUAGUCUCCAGAGGAUAAGCAGUCUUGCGUCUCCUGACAUGCUGGGCGGGCAUCUGGGGGCUCUGUUCAGUUGGCACCAUGGUUCCUGCUUGGAUUAAGGCAGCUCUUCUCCGUAGAAGGUGUUGUCUGAAGUCUCACUUGGGGGCUGGAGUGUGGCUCAGCAGCAGAGCACUUUCCUGCCAUGCUGAAGGCUUUGAGCUCCAUCUGUCCCUAGACCUCCGCAAGCACACACACCUUGCCUUGUAUAGAUGACCCAGCCUGGAGACGGGGAUGGGCCUCCCCGCUUCCCUCUCCCCCACCCCCUGUCCUCUUCUCUUAGUAGGCACUGAGUGCUGCUUGUUUCAGCGGUCAGCACUUCCCCAGCCUCCUGACCCCCCAAGGGAAGGGCAUGUUACACCCCUGAGUUGCAGGAGGGCUCCAGAUGUGACUUCCUCCACAAACAGUUUAUAAACCCAUCCUGGAGACUAUGAGAGAGGGGCAUGUGAAAUACAGGGACAGGGGACUUGUUCAUCUAAAGAGAGAGUCUCCGCACAUUAGCAUGCUCGAGCAGUCCUCCUGCUGGGUUCCGGUCUAUCUAUGUGAUGAAUCGCUACGUUGUGCCUCAGUCUCUUAGUCUGUAGAAUGGGGGAGAAUAGUGCCCUUCUUACAGGGUCAUAUGAUAGUGGAUGGAACGUGUGACUCGGUGUGGUUCUUGGAGUAUGUAAGGCCCUGGCCUCUGAGCCGAACUGCCGCCAUUUCCCUGAGAUCCGCUGUACCUGGGGACCACCGACAGGUGGGGAGGGUCAUAACCACUCCUCUCAGCCAAUCACGUGUAGCCUUGGGGUCUCAGGUAGGGACUUAGGCUGGAAAGAUUGGGGGACUAGGGUUCGUCUAUGCAGCUACGGGGAAACAUCAUCCGUGCUGGGGGCAGACCUUCUAGUCAGCUGCUUUAGUCGCCUGUGCUCCUGACAGGAAGCCCUCACCAGGGCUCUCUACAAGUGAACCCGAUAAACUCAUUGGCUGAACUGUGGUGGAACUGAGCUUUGGUUUGUCAUUAGGAGGAGGGAGCAGGUGUCGUUAACACUUCCCCCCAGGGAAGGAAUUUUAGCUUUUAGUGACAGCCUAAUGAGCUGAAUCUUCAGCUGUUGUCAGUUUGCAGAGAGAAAGUUUUUGUGGGGGUCUCAGAAGGUUCUAAGAUCCCCCCCCCAGUAGGUGACAGACACCCCCCACGUACAAUGUGGCAGCUUCUGGGGCAGGUGCUGAUGAGGACUUGUCUGAGGUGCAGUGGAAGACCUUGAAGUUCCUUUCUGCGUCAUCCUGUGCCAAACAGGACACUGCUCUGAACAGCCGCUCAGAAUAAAAGGCCACUGGGACUCACCCCCUCCCCCAGUGCCACUGAGAAGCGUGCCAUGUUGCAACACGUUGGAGAAAGACCAGAACUCAACCCCUACCCCUUCGUUGAGUCAGAAAAAGCCAGAGAGGCUUUUGCGGUGAUGGAGUUAAAGGCACUCACCACCACUGUAAUCAGGUCCCUAAAUUACAGAGCCCACCUGCCAGCUGCCUGGUACCAUCUCAUUAGCCGGGUGCUGGGAGAAGGUGCCAUAUGCCCUAAGGGAGCACCUGACCGCCAAGUUCCUGCUCCAUAAUUAAACUUAAAAUCCCCGACCUCACCCACACCUAACCCCUUCUCAGGAAACAACAAAGUUGAGGCCAUCCGCCUCCCCUGCUCCAGGAAAAAGAAAGUCGAGGUGUGAAUUAGGAGCUUCCAGCCUGGCCCUCCCCCCUCCCAUGACUAUGGGAUUGAGGGAGACUUGGGGAGGUCAUGUAGAACAGGAGUGAGCCCUACGUCUUGCCACACGGAUACCCAGAACCCAGCCAAAGGCAGCAGGACAUAUUCAUAUACACAUACACUCAUGUACACAUUACCUAAAAACACAAGUGCAAUUGCAUGUAUCCCCCAUCAUACACAGAGAGUGCGCACGCGCGCGCGCGCACACACACACACACACACACACACACACACACACACACAACAUAAAAGUAAAUUUUAAAGGGGAAGAGCAGGGGCAGGAGUAAUCCUGCCUCGAGGUUUGUCCUAGAACAGUUAAGCACACCCACACACAACCUCACCCCGCCCCCCACACUCCAGUGAAGGAUGUGUGGAUGCCAGGUGACUGACAGAGUCAGUUGAGAUACUCUCAGGGUCUUCUAGGCAGAGCUGUGUGAGCUGUGUCUGGCUGACAGACACACAGAGCGUCUCGGCAUGCGGGUAGAAGUGUGGGAGGAGAAAUGGAUUCACAGGCGAGUGUCCCUCCCUGAAGAGGCUUCUCUAGAGCCAGAGUGCUGGGCUGACCAGACAGAGGGGAGGUACCAAGUGAUCGGCUUGGCUUGCCGUAAGUGCCCUCAUGGCUCCAGCCAGCCAGCCAGCUGUGACCACCAGCCAGAGAAGAGAGGAAUGGACAACCCCAGCUUCUAAAUCCUCUGCAGAUACUGCUGCCCAGAGAGAGGGUAGGGGCUGGAGGACAAGAGGGAGGUCAUUGGCCUGGGCCUGGAGAGGACGCACCUCUUCCCCAUCCUUACCCCAGAAUUCUCUGGUCCCAUUUGAGCCUUCUGGUUUUGCAUGAGGCCAAGUUGCAUGGGCUAGCUCGGGAUUUGGUGGGAAGAACAGAGCUAUAAAGAAAACUGUCCAGCCUAAGGGAGAAGGUGAGUUUACUGGACAGACAGGAUCAGGGCUUCCAGGCCUCUGCAGCAGAGAUAACAGUUGUGGCUUCGGCUGGCGCUUUAUAUUAAAGCCAAGUGCUUGAUUGCACUCAGCUCCCAGACAGAGCCCAAGAACUCGCCUCUGCUGUUAACAGCCAGGAAAUGUCCAGAACCUUCCCUGGUCCUGCCACUCCCCAAGGUGAGUCUGGCUCUGAUUGGCACCGUGCCAAUACUGAUUUUGCCCUCCAUCCCCCCUUCCACCCCCCCAAUGUGGGGAUGCAGAGGUGAAUGAAGACAGCCUUGUGGUCGGUCAUGAGUCAUGGCCUCUGAGGGUAAGCACAACCCAGAGAAAUGCCUAGGCAGGCUGUGCCCCCUUACCACUUGAUCAAGGUCCCAGCUCUUAGACAGGGACUGGGCCAGGCCUGACAUGUCCCGAGGGCCCGGGGGAACGCUACUGUCCGAGGCCCGGCACUAGACCUGGGGACGGCAGGGUGUCCUUUGCAGUCACAUCAGGUGAGCCCAGCCCUGGGAAGAUUGUAGUCUGCAGUUGUUUGCUUCCCUAAUUUCCUCUCUGGCCAGCUUCCCCUUUUCCUGCAGCCUCGGAGCCCCUGGGGCCCCAGCGUAGCCAGGUGUGGCUUGAGUGAUCAAUCGUGGGGCCUGGUAGAACAGGGAAGGGCGAGCAGACGUCAGCAUCAGGAGUCACUGUGGACAGGCACAGGACACUGAAGAGUGAGGAAGAGGAAGGGGCGUAGCUUUAUAUCUGGUUUCCUCCCAGACAAGCCCUGUGACCCGAGUACUGUGAGCCCCGAGAGUCUCCCAGGAACACAACCUGCCUAUGUGGUAUGACAGACCGGCCCACUGGCACCCGUCUGAGUGAUCAGCUUGGUCCAGGGGACCUUAUACCUGAAUGAUUCAGGCACGUCUGAAUGUGCGGUCACUGACAGGUGAAUGCUCAGGUGACCAAACAGUGGUGGCGUGACCAGGUACAAUACCUAAAAUACCAGGCCGUCCUGAGUCGGACAGGUGCCAAAUGGACUGGCAAGAAACUACCCCCUCCAGAGGCCUGCAUUCCAAGUGCCCAGCCCAGCCUCGCAAGUUGGUGGCAACAGACAGAGGCUCACGUAGCCAGGGGAAGGAAGGAAUUUGUGGUUUGCGCUUCCCUAGAGCUACUGUUGGCCCCAGGGAGCCUGCCAACAGCUCCCGUGGACACAGCUAUCUCGGAGCAUUUCUUCCCAGGAUCCCUGCCACGCACGGGCCAUGACUGACUGCUCUUAAUUAAACAACUGGUAGAUGGAUUUAAUCUAAUAUUUACUCCUGGAGAGAGAAAGAAGGAACACGCGUCAUCCAGGCAGCCUGGAGGUCAGUGGGCCAGGCUUCUCUCUGGAGUACCAGAAGGUUCUCAGACCUGAGGUUUCCUUCUACCUCCCCUUUGUCUUCUCUUCCUGGAGGGGAUCUUUGUCCUUGAGAGGAGUGAAAGCUGAGAGGAUGAGGGAUAUCCAGGCAGCACUCAGCAGAAACACAAACUGCCCUCUUGAGACCAAAGGCACCCGGAACUGUCCUGACCAGGUACCAGAUGGAAGCUUCCAGAAAGGGAGGCACCCCACAGGAGAGGGCUGGACUCGCUUCCCUGAGAGGAGGCAAGGGGCAAGCCAGGGACCUGGGCGAGACCUUUGUUGUGUGAUGGAAUAAACGGGGACCUUCCGCGAGCACAAGCUGGCAGCCUUGUGCUCCAGCUGCCUCCUCACAAGGGAAGACUGUGGUAAGAACCCAGCAAAGGCUGAUUUCCCCCACAGUUGACAUUUCCUUUUAUUUCCCCCUGGUGUGAGUGCAGUAAGCAGCCCUGGAAAUCCAGGAGACACUGGUAGCUGUUAAGGAGUGGCAGCUGAGAACCCCCUGGCCAGUGCACCUGGAGGAGAAGCCGGGCAGAUAGAGAACAGAUCUUUGGGGCUUCAGAGGAGGGCUGGGCAGCGCAGACUCAAAGACGAGCCCGAGUGAUGCCCUGGAGAGGAGCACGUGGCAGUUAAGUAGCGGGUCACAUUUAACCCGAGGGUUAGACAAGUGCUAUGAUUUCCUUUUAGGGAUGUGAGGGGGGGGGGGGCUAGCAGAGGUGAGCGACUUUCUCAGUCACUCAUUUCAUGCGGAUGUGUCUAUCCAGAGCAGGUGUGCUUUUCGUCUAUGGCUGAAGGGAGGUCCCCUGCAAGGCAGUCUGGGGCAGGUCCAACUCCAGGAUGUGUGUGGUGGAUCUCUGCCACACAUCAGAGUGCAGCUCCAACCCCACUGAGACUCUGUGAGUCAUAGACCAUAGAGCCACUGGAGAAAGAAAUGUUCUCUGAGCACAGAAGAGUCUGGCUUAGAUACUGUCAGGAUGGCCUGUGGCCUUGGGCACUGGGUUGACUCCCUAAAUUUUGCUUCCCAUAAAGAAAACGUGGUCUGACUCCUUCUAGGGUCAUUUGAAAGUUAAGUGAAAUAUUGUUUAUAAAACGUCUAGCAUGGGCUGGGGGCAGGUCCAUUGCUGUGCAAUCUUGAGAACCUGAGUUUGAAACCCUGCUGUCGCAUUAAAAGGCCAUUGUGGCUGUGCACACACAUGCCUCUGACCCUAGUUCUCGGGGUGUGGCGGGGCAGAGACAGGGAUCCCUUGGUAUUCUGGCUAGCUCCAGAGAGACCCUGUCUCAAAGGAAUAAGGUGGAGGGUAAUAGAGGAGGACACUCAACACACACACACACACACACACACACACACACACACACACACACACACACACACACACACACCACAUUGUAGAUUGCUUAAGAAAUGGUAAUUCUUGCCAGGAGGUGGUGGUACACCUUUUAUCCCAGCCUUUAGGAGGCAGAGGCAGGAGAUCCCUGAGUUCAAGGUCAGCCUGGUCUACAUCAUGAGUUCCAGGACAGCCAAGACUACACAGAG